rnacentral:lncRNA from 1 species
AACAUAGUUGUUGAAAGGUGUGUAAAAUCUUAAAUAAGAUCAACAAUAUAAUUGAUAGAUAUUAAGGUUCUAAACUGUCCAAAGAUUAGGUUAAUUUGAUUAAGGUUUGAUUUAGGAUUUAGGAAUUAGUUAGAAUUUAGGAUUUGUUUAGAUUUUAGUUAGGAUUUGAUUCAAGAUUUAAGUAAGGACUAUUAGGAUUUUAAGUAGAAUUAAAGUAAGAGUUGGUUGGAAAUUAUUUAAUAUAUAUUUUAGAUUUUAUUCUUAUACUUUCUUUGAAUUUCUUUAAGAUUUCUUCAUGCUUCUUUCAUAAUUUCUUUGAGGUUUC